GCCAGGAAAGACACAGGAAGAGGCAAGGAGGAAGAACAAGAACCAGCAAGGUCAUACUGAUACACAGUCCCCUCCGCCCAGCCAUUCACGCUCCUCUGCUGAGAACUGGUGACAGCCACCCCACGCCCAGCACGCAAGGGUCUCACCACAUAAUCCAAGUUGGCCUGGAACUCAUGGCAAUCCCCCUGCUUCAGCCUCCUGAGUGCUGGGAUUAUGGGUGUGUUUCAUCAUCCCCAGCUCUGUCUCAAAAUUCAAGAAGAAAGGAAAGCAAAAGAAAAGAAAAGAUCUGGGGAUACAUCUCAGUGCAAAGGCCCUGAGUUCAGCCUCCAGCACUGCAAAAUAUAAAGUCAGUGCUAAUCCCCAAAAUAGAGAUGUUUAAGUACCGGAAGACAAUGACUUAAUACAGCCUUUCCUAGCCUA